CAUAGAACAAAUUGAAGAGUCAUACUGCAACGAAAGCAUUGAAAUUCAGCACAGUGUUGUAUCUGACUUCCACUUUUCUAGUUGUUCUUUAUUGUCAAGAUAUUUCACAGUGAAUAAACAAAAAAAAUGAUGUGGAAAAUUAUAGUUCUGUUGCCGUGUUUUGACGUUUUAGUGAACGCUGGUAUAGAUUCACCAUAUUUUACGGGUUCUUCAAGCCAGAACCUGGACCCAUACCGCACUUUUAAUGGAUGGGUAAAUUCACUAGACACAAGAAAUGCAAACUUGUCAUCUGUGGUUCGUUUUCCUAGCCCUGAAUUAAAAAAUACCGCAAGGGACAAAUUGAAGUUAAGUAAGUGUCCACCUGGUGAUGUGGAAAGUCUUAUUACGAGGAGUAGUUGGGAUUACUGGCCUAAUUAUUUAAGAUUAGAUCAGGAACCUUUUGUAAACUUAAGUUAUAUUAAUGGAUUGAAAUUUAGAAGCAUUCCAGGACUAUCAGCAGUAGUCGCGUCGGUUCAUGAAAACUCUAUAGGAGGGCUGCAUUUUCCAGGAAUUUUAUUAUUUUUCUAGCAUACUACGCUUAUCUAAAACUUUUAUUUGUUUGUUGAAUUAAAUAAAAUGAGUGUGUUAUAUUGA